ensembl:lncRNA
GGCGCCUGAGAGCGCGUGGUGGCGCCGGCGCCGGCUCCGCGCCCGUUGCCUCGGAAACCGCGCUGUGCUUCCGAGGUCGGGGUCACGACUCGCUCGGCUUCCGCAUGCGUACCCGUUGGUGCUGUGGGCGGCGCAGCGGUUGUACGCUAGGUCGGGGCCGUAUGGCGCAGUUUGGCAUGAGAGCGCUGAGAUGAUGGGGCUUGGCGCUCUGUCCACCUUACCAUCUGUCCGAUUGGGAGGAGGCCGGCGCUUCCCAGCUGGGGCUGAGCAAGGACACAGUGGAGCACAGCAAGCCCUAGGUAGAGAGGAGCCACGCUAACAUGACUGUGACGGCGACCGCCCCCCGAACUAUUCUGGAGCCUACGGAUCUUCGUAGACAGACCUGCGGUCUGGAAUGGGGCGAGAGCCCAGGGCGGCCGCCAGGGCAGGGGAGGAAGCGAGGAUGCGUCUCACGUUAAGGAAUUUGGACUCUGGAAGCCAUGUUGUUGUUUAGUCCGCCUCUUUGUGACCCCAUGAACUGCAGUAGGCCCGGCUUCCGUGUUCUUCACCGUGUCCUGGGAGUUUGCUCAAACUCAUGGCCAUUGAGUCAGUGAUCCCAUCCAACCAUCUCACCCUCUGUCUCCCCUUUCUCUUGCCCGCAGUCUCUUCCAGCAUCAGGGUCGUUUCCAAUGAGAUGGCUCUUCCGGAGCCAGUGGCCAGAGUAUUAGAGCUUCAGCUUCAGCAUCAGUCCGUAAAGAAGGCUGAGUGUUGAAGAACUGAUGCUUUUGAAUUGCGGUGCUGGAAAAGACUCUUGAGAGCCCUUUGGACUGCAUGAAAGUCAACCAGUCAGUCCUAAAGGAAAUCAACCCUGAAUAUUCAUUGGAAGGAAGCUGCCAUCUCGACCUUGUUUUGGCAGCUGCUUUGAGGCCAGUAAGGUUCAUGUUAAGGACAUGCUCCCCUGGGCUGGGAGAUAGGCAGUCUUUUGAUUAUACACGAUUCCCAUUUCUCUAGUCACAACGCCAGUCUUUUAUUUAAAGCCAGGAGAACAUUUUGGUCGCCAAGUGUGAUGACAGAAUAACUUUGAAACCAAUCUAAUUUAUUUUUAAAUACUUGGCAAACUUCAAUUAAUAAUAUCAAGUUACUUAAGGUGUAUCUCAAACCCUGUCUUUGCACAGGAGGGCUGCUGCAAGCCCCAGAGAGCUUACUUUCCAUCUGGGAAGUAAGAUGGUCAGAUAUUGUUCCUGCUGAGUCUCUUGCAGAUCAAGCAGUCAAAAAACAUUAACAAAUUGAUGGGACUUCCCUCGUGAUCCAGUGGUUCUUCCUCUACUUCUACUGCAGGGGACACAGGUUGGA